AUUGAACGCUGGCGGCAGGCCUAACACAUGCAAGUCGAACGAGUGGCGGACGGGUGAGUAAUGUCUGGGAAACUGCCUGAUGGAGGGGGAUAACUACUGGAAACGGUAGCUAAUACCGCAUACCAUCAGAUGUGCCCAGAUGGGAUUAGCUUGUUGGUGGGGUAACGGCUCACCAAGGCGACGAUCCCUAGCUGGUCUGAGAGGAUGACCAGCCACACUGGAACCUGGACACGGUCCAUGCUCCUACGGGAGGCAGCAGUGGGGAAUAGUGCACAAUUGGCGGAAGCCUGAUGCAGGCAUGCCGCGUGUAAGGAGAAGGGCUUCGGGUUGGAAAGUACUUUCAGCGGGGAGGCGUUACCCGCAGAAGAAGCACCGGCUAACUCCGUGCCAGCAGCCGCGGUAAUUC
rnacentral:rRNA from 1 species